UACGUAGGGGGCAAGCGUUGUCCGGAUUUAUUGGGCGUAAAGAGCGUGUAGGCGGCCACACAGGUCUGCUGUGAAAACUCGAGGCUCAACCUCGAGCUGUCGGUGGAAACCGUGUGGCUAGAGUCCGGAAGAGGAGAGUGGAAUUCCCGGUGUAGCGGUGAAAUGCGCAGAUAUCGGAAGGAACACCAGUGGCGAAAGCGGCUUCCUGGUCCAGCACCGACGUUCAGGCACGAAAGCGUGGGGAGCAAACAGG
rnacentral:rRNA from 1 species